rnacentral:lncRNA from 1 species
AUGUGUUGCUACUGUACAAGUGUACAGGUGUUGCUACUGUACAGGUGUACAGGUGUUCCUACUGUACAGGUGUUGCUACUGUACAGGUGUUCCUACUAUACAGGUGUACAGGUGUUGCUACUGUACAGGUGUACAGGUGUUGCUACUGUACAGGUGUACAGGUGUGCAGGUGUUGCUACUGUACAGGUGUACAGGUGUAAAGGUGUUCCUACUGUACAGGUGCACAGGUCUUGCUACUGUACAGGUGUUGCUACAGUACAGGUGUACAGGUGUUGCUACUGUACAGGUGUACAGGUGUACAGGUGUAGCUACUGUACAGGUGUACAGGCGUACAGGUGUUGCUACUGUACAGGUGAACAGGUGUGCAGGUGUUCCUACUGUACAGCUGUACAGGUCUUGCUACUGUACAGGUGUACAGGUGUACAGGUGUUGCUACAGUACAGGUGUACAGGCGUACAGGUGUUGCUACUGUACAGGUGUACAGGUGUGCAGGUGUUCCUACUGUACAGGUAUACAGGUGUUGCUACUGUACAGGUGCACAGGUGUUGCUACUGUACAGGUGCACAGGUGUUGCUACUGUACAGGUGCACAGGUGUUGCUACUGUCAGGUGUACAGGUUUCCUACUGUACAGGUGUA